ensembl:lncRNA
AUGUGUAAAAAUGUCAAACUUCUACACUCUAAAAGUGUUUUUGUCCACAAUAUCGAAGCAUUUAUUGUGUUAAUUUCCAGGCCAGCAGGGAUAUUUUCUUCACACUCCACACACAUGUCACCUUCCAUUUCCUCUCCUCUCUGCUCCUCUUCUGAAGUGGAUGGGGAAAUGUGGUGCUACCAAAAACCGGGGUUUGAUACCCUCCUCCUCACUGAGCUGCAGAGACAACAACAGUGCAGCCAGUUCUGUGACACUCUGCUUAAGGCAGAAGGGGUGUCUAUACCCGCACACAGCUGUAUUCUAUCAGCUAUCAGCCCCCACAUCUCCUCCGCUCUGUCCUCCACACCGACUCCCGCUGCGGGGCAGAGUCGCCUCUUGGAGUUUCGGGCUCUGGGUGCCUGCACCUUGCUCCACUUGGUCAGGCUUCUGUACUCUGGAGAGAUGGCUGGGGAGGGCGAGAGAGAGAAGCAACAGGCUAUUUCUGCUGCGGCUAAGCUGGGCAUCCAUGGGCUGGUGGAGGUGACGAAACGGGAGUGUAAAAGCAGGGAUGGGGUUGCGCAGUGCGCCGAGAUAGGAGUGCAGACGGAGCCUCUGAUGUCUGAGAGUGAGGGGAGACCGGGCAGGUGGAGGAGAGAGGUGAGGGAUGGGAGCACUUUUCUGUGGAAAGAGAUUAUGUCAGAUGGCGGGAAGGACGUGUGUACUCAAACAGAUGAGCUGGAGUUAAACACAGCUCCACCUGCUCACCCAGCAGUAUCGUUUGAGACCAUCGAUAUGAGUGCUCUUCAGAGUAUACAGCACACAGACCCCCUUCUUGUUCCCCCUCAGAUUGUCCCUGUGUCUGUCGUCUACCCUCAAAAUGAACUAACACCUCAGCUGUCCUCUGCUCCCUUAGGUUCUAUAUCUGAAGCUGAAAGCACAUCUGUUGCUGUUGUGACCCAGCCGUACACAUCUGUCCCCCCAUCCCUCCCUCAUUUUAUGAGCCAGACAACCAUCUGUAAUGCCGACCCCCAGAGCGGAUGGGCUGACCAAGAUGUCGCAGUGGCUGAAGAAUGGGAGGAAGAGCAGUUUAAACAGUUUCAAGGCAACAUCCCAGGAUUCAUCAGCUACUUCCUGAACCCUGACAGUGAGGAGGAGCCCCGCAGGGGGAGAGCAGGCCGCAGGCGAAGGUCUGGGGUUGGAGGUGCCAGGAGAGCCGAGACAGGCAAGGAGAAGCCCGGGCGACCACGAGCAGGAGGGAGAGGGCGUGGUCGGGGAGGGUUAACUCAAAUGGUGCAGGAGGUGGGGGUGAGCAGGUUGCAGAAGUUGUUCUUGCUCAGGUGGGGCAUGAGGACGCCCAGGACCGGUCAGGGAGGCGGAGCUGCUGGGAGGAAGUUGUGCCUGCAGACCAGAGAGGUUGUGAAAAAGGGUGGACACUGUGAGAGGAGAAGAGGGCGUGGCAUAGCGUGGGCAUUAAGCCAAGUUGGAGAUGUGCUGCGGUCUGGUGAGGUCGGAGGAAGCACCACUCAGCGUGGAAGGAAAAAUACAGGGCAACAGUUUGAACAGGUAAGCGAUCAGUGUCCUGUUUGUGGCAUCUAUAAAGUGUCAAAAGCUGUAAUUAAAUAUUAAAUGAAAACAGGCUCUGGAAGCUAAAAAAACUAAACCUUUGAGGGUUUUUAGACCCAAAAAUGAGGAUUCAGAUUUAAAACAGGAUGUUACAUUUGUUGCUACUUUCAAACAUUAUGACUUAUGUCCUUGUUUGCAGGGCAGUCGUCCUGUGAGGCCGCGAAGGUCCAGAGCCAAAACAGCAACAUCGA